CAAGCAAGUCGAGCGGUAACAGGAAUUAGCUUGCUAAUUUGCUGACGAGCGGCGGACGGGUGAGUAAUGCCUGGGAAUAUGCCUUGAUGUGGGGGAUAACUAUUGGAAACGAUAGCUAAUACCGCAUAAUGCCUACGGGCCAAAGAGGGGGAUCUUCGGACCUCUCGCGUCAAGAUUAGCCCAGGUGGGAUUAGCUAGUUGGUGGGGUAAUGGCUCACCAAGGCGACGAUCCCUAGCUGGUUUGAGAGGAUGAUCAGCCACACUGGAACUGAGACACGGUCCAGACUCCUACGGGAGGCAGCAGUGGGGAAUAUUGCACAAUGGGGGAAACCCUGAUGCAGCCAUGCCGCGUGUAUGAAGAAGGCCUUCGGGUUGUAAAGUACUUUCAGUUGUGAGGAAGGCGGUAACGUUAAUAGCGUUGCCGUUUGACGUUAGCAACAGAAGAAGCACCGGCUAACUCCGUGCCAGCAGCCGCGGUAAUACGGAAGGUGCGAGCGUUAAUCGGAAUUACUGGGCGUAAAGCGCAUGCAGGCGGUCUGUUAAGCAAG
rnacentral:rRNA from 1 species